UCUUCUCCAGCUGUGAAUUAUAAACUCAAACGGUACUAAAUGUUUCGCCGGGAUGUUCAGGUUGAGGUGAGAUCCACGCAGGCAGAUCCGCACAGAGCUCCACGCAGGACUGAAGCAAGAGGCAGAAACUGAAGCCCUUUUUUUGUGUCCAUGAGGGACCAUCCACGGCAGCGGGACGUGAGUCACACGUCACAUGCGGAAAGCUCCACGCAGGACGAAGGCCGAGACGAGCCACAGCUCCUCUAGACGUGUCUCAUUAGUCCGUAAUGACCAGUCAGGCCUUUCACAACAUGAAAUAACGCCGCUUCCUGAUCGGUCAUCGUGAGUGAAAACGCUCUAUCGGAGACGCCCGGACCGAAGACGCUCUCCGGACCGAUUUUCCACCAAAACAAUUCACUCAAGGUAUCGAAAUGCAUCUUUACAUCUUAACAUCGAGAAGUGCUUUUUGUACUUUAAAGGGUAGACUACUUUACACAGCAUCUCCGUUCGAAGUCACGUCGAAGGUCGCGUUCUUCAUUUUAAGCGCGAGAGACAGAAUCGAGCUCUUUCUCGCCUCUACGCUUCUUUUUCGCCUCCACUGUGCUGUAGGGAGUAUGGAAUCUAUUCCAGGCGGGGGAGACAUCCUGGACGGGGUCCCAACACAUCAGAGGGCACAU